rnacentral:lncRNA from 1 species
GCAGAAUCCGUGGAAGUUGAGAAGUGUACGCAGAAGCCUGCAUUCCAGCAGAAAGGGUAUAGAUUGCCAAAUGCCGGGACUGGAGUCUUGGCUUUCUGAAGAUCUUUUCCAUUACCUCUGCAGCAAGAAUGACAUCUUCUAAAGACUCAGGAUGGCCUCUAAUCUUCAUGGCCUAAUUCCCUGAUCCUCCAACCAGGAGGCCCCCCCAGGCCUGAAAGAAGUGUUUGUAAAGGUAAGAACAGCUGUUAGCUUUGC